AAUCAACGCUGGCGGCGUGCCUAACACAUGCAAGUCGAACGCGAAAGGGGCUUCGGCCCUGAGUAGAGCGGCGAACGGGUGAGUAACACGUGGGUGACCUGCCUUUAGCUCUGGGAUAAGCCUGGGAAACUGGGUCUAAUACCGGAUAUGACUCCAUAGCGCAUGGUGUGGGGUGGAAAGCUUUUGCGGCUAGGGAUGGGCCCGCGGCCUAUCAGCUUGUUGGUGGGGUGAUGGCCUACCAAGGCGA
rnacentral:rRNA from 1 species